CCCUUCACUGACUCUCUUUUGGGACUCAGCCCACCUGCACCCAGGUGAUUAAAAAGCUUUAUUGCUCACACAAACCCUGUUUGGUGGUCUCUUCACACAGAUGCAUGUGAAAUUUGGUGCCGUGACUCGGAUCAGGGGACCACCCUUGGGAGAUCAAUCCCCUGUCCUCCUGCUCUUUGCUCCAUGAGAAAGAUCCACCUACGACCUCUGGUCCUCAGACUAACCAGCCCAAGGAACAUCUCACCAAUUUUAAAUCGGAUCUUCUCAGCUUAGCGGCUGAAGACUGAUGCUGCCUGAUCACCUCGGAAGCCCCCUAGACCAUCACGGACACCGAGCUUCGGGUAACUCUCACAGUGGAGGGGACACCAUUCUGGGCUUGCUGAUCCCGCAGGAAAUUUUGAUGUUGAAGCAGCAUAUGAGUUGGAUUUUGAAGAACGGGUAAGAGUCUAUUUGUGGGGCACUGACAUGCAGAACCAUGCUCUCCUGCCUCCCCGGGGGGCAGUGGACCAGAGUUCCCCAAACCACAGAGAAC